CACACCGUAAACGUUGGGCGCUAGGUGUGGGACUCAUUCCACGAGUUCCGUGCCGCAGCUAACGCAUUAAGCGCCCCGCCUGGGGAGUACGGCCGCAAGGCUAAAACUCAAAGGAAUUGACGGGGGCCCGCACAAGCGGCGGAGCAUGCGGAUUAAUUCGAUGCAACGCGAAGAACCUUACCUAGGUUUGACAUAUGUGAGAAGCCUCUAGAGAUAGAGGUCUCUUUGGACACUCAUAUACAGGUGG
rnacentral:rRNA from 1 species